rnacentral:rRNA from 1 species
GAGUUUGAUCUGGCUCAGAACGAACGCUGGCGGCACGCCUAACACAUGCAAGUCGAACGAGACUUUCGGGUCUAGUGGCGCACGGGUGCGUAACGCGUGGGAACCUGCCCAAAGGUGCGGAAUAACUCAGGGAAACUUGAGCUAAUACCGCAUGAUGCCGAAAGGCCAAAGAAUUUAUCGCCUUUGGAUGGGCCCCGCGUCGGAUUAGCUUGUUGGUGGGGGUAAUGGCCCACCAAGGGGACGAUCCGUAGCUGGUUUGAGAGGAUGACCAGCCACACUGGGACUGAGACACGGCCCAGACUCCUACGGGAGGCAGCAGUGGGGAAUAUUGGACAAUGGGCGAAAGCCUGAUCCAGCAAUGCCGCGUGAGUGAAGAAGGCCUUCGGGUUGUAAAGCUCUUUUACCCGGGAAGAUAAUGACGGUACCGGGAGAAUAAGCCCCGGCUAACUCCGUGCCAGCAGCCGCGGUAAUACGGAGGGGGCUAGCGUUGUUCGGAAUUACUGGGCGUAAAGCGCGCGUAGGCGGCUGUCCAAGUCAGGGGUGAAAGCCCGCGGCUCAACCGCGGAACUGCCCUUGAAACUGGACGGCUUGAACACGGGAGAGGUGAGUGGAAUUCCGAGUGUAGAGGUGAAAUUCGUAGAUAUUCGGAAGAACACCAGUGGCGAAGGCGACUCACUGGACCGUAGUUGACGCUGAGGCGCGAAAGCGUGGGGAGCGAACAGGAUUAGAUACCCUGGUAGUCCACGCCGUAAACGAUGAGAACUAGCUGUCAGGUCGCUUUGCGACUUGGUGGCGCAGCUAACGCAUUAAGUUCUCCGCCUGGGGAGUACGGCCGCAAGGUUAAAACUCAAAGGAANNNACNG